CACACAGUUACCCUGCGAUCAGUGCUCCUAGUGAUCAUCUUCACAUGGUGAGCAUGUGUUAUUUCCAAGGGGACUAACCCUAGGAAUAUUGGAGGGGUACUGUAUAAAUUUGAACAAGUAAUUGUUCUUUCCCAGAUUUUUAAGGAAGUGACUGAUGGAGGUUCUGCCACCAUGUAGCAGUCUAGAAGCAAGUUUGUUUACUUGCUGAUUCAAAAAUAGGGUCCACUUCCUCUUUUCGAAGGCUCCAGAUAAUCUGUGUUCUGUAUAUAACUAAGAACAACACCUGGUAAAGACUGAAAAUUCAAAAUGGAUCAUUGUGUUCCAUUUAUCAUAACUUGUAACUUUAUCAUAGAAUGUAAAAAGGGGGAUUAUGACAAUUAAUAUUUUACCCUCUGUUCACUGCUAUUCCUAAAUAUCUUAAGUUUCUUAGGGUGUGUGUGCGCAUGUAUUUUUUGGGGGUGGAGAGACUGGUGAUUGAACUCGGGCUGCUACUCUUUCACUGAGUUAUAUCCCCAGCCCUUUUAUCUAUCUAUCUAUCUAUCUAUCUAUCUAUCUAUCUAUCUAUCGACAGGGUCUCACUCAAUUGACCAGUCUAACCUUGAACGUGCAAUCCUCCUGCAGUCUCCUGAAAAACUGGGAUUACAGUCAUGUGCCUUGCCUAGUUCAUAGGGUUUAAAUGUGAUGAGAUUUCUUUAAAAAU
rnacentral:lncRNA from 1 species